rnacentral:tRNA from 1 species
GCAUGGUAGCCGAGUGGAUAAUGCGCUUAUAGCUAUUCACUCGGUACUGUAUGUCGAUGGUUCGAUUCCAUCCUGAAGCA